GUGCUUGCUUCGGCAGCACAUAUACUAAAAUUGGAACGAUACAGAGAAGAUUAGCAUGGCCCCUGCGCAAGGAGAUAUCAGCAUCUUCAUGUGAUUAAAUAUGGAUCU
ensembl:snRNA U6 U6 spliceosomal RNA